rnacentral:rRNA from 1 species
UACGUAGGGGGCAAGCGUUGUCCGGAUUUAUUGGGCGUAAAGAGCGUGUAGGCGGCCAGGUAGGUCCGUUGUGAAAACUCGAGGCUCAACCUCGAGACGUCGGCGGAAACCCUCUGGCUAGAGUCCGGAAGAGGAGAGUGGAAUUCCUGGUGUAGCGGUGAAAUGCGCAGAUAUCAGGAAGAACACCCGUGGCGAAGGCGGCUCUCUGGGACGGUACUGACGCUGAGACGCGAAAGCUAGGGGAGCAAACAGG